rnacentral:lncRNA from 1 species
GGGGUGGCUAGGAAAAACUCCCUAGAAAGGCCAGGAACCUAGGAAGAAACCUAGAGAGGAACCAGGCUAUGAGGGGGUGGCUAGGAAAAACUCCCUAGAAAGGCCAGGAACCUAGGAAGAAACCUAGAGAGGAACCAGGCUAUGAGGGGGUGGCCAGUCCUCAUGAUCUGACAAACAUCUUUCAGCGGAGAUGCGGAAGUGCGAAUUUGGCAGAUACGGUGGAUUGAAACGCGUCCAAUUGCAAAAUACAGUUGAAGUCGGAAGUUUACGUACACUUACUAGGUUGGAGUCAUUAAAACUCGUUUUUAAACCACUGCACACAUUUCUCAGAAAAGCUGAGUUUAAAUAUAUUUGGCUAAGGUGUAUGUAAACUUUCGACUUUAACUGUGUAUCAGAUAUCUCUAACUUUAACUGACUGAUUUUGAUGGGGGUUAUAUAAAUGUUAAUUACACUGGCUAAGCAGAAAUCGACUCUAGGGGGUUUAAACAGUGUGUGUUUGAGAAUGUGCCAUUGGGUUGGUCUAUUUCAUAUGUCUCCAUAGAUACCAGCCAUUAGUCUGAUCAAUGAGAGAUGAGCCGGAGCUGUAUAGAAAAUGUCUCUAGAGUCCGAUUGGUCAGAGCAUCAAACUAUUAAAAAUGUCUCUGGAGUUUUGAUUGGUCAGAGCUGCAAACUAUUAAAAGCUAAAUCUGAACAGCUGACACUCUCACGAACAUGUGACAUGUUUUGCUCUAUGAUGCUACACAACAACAGUUGUUAGACUGUAAGGGGUUCUUCUACAUAGACCAUAGUAAAUCCCAGGUCAUAGUGUCUAUAAUACUGUAAGGGGUUCUUCUACAUAGUAAAUCCCAGGACAUAGUGUCUAUAAUACUGUAAGGGGUUCUUCUACAUAGUAAAUCCCAGGACAUAGUGUCUAUAAUACUGUAAGGGGUUCUUCUACAUAGACCAUAGUAAAUCCCAGGACAUAGUGUCUAUAAUACUGUAAGGGGUUCUUCUACAUAGAAGACCAUAGUAAAUCCCAGGUCAUAGUGUCUAUAAUACUGUAAGGGGUACUUCUACAUAGACCAUAGUAAAUCCCAGGACAUAGUGUCUAUAAUACUGUAAGGGGUUCUUCUACAUAGACCAUAGUAAAUCCCAGGACAUAGUGUCUAUAAUACUGUAAGGGGUUCUUCUACAUAGUAAAUCCCAGGACAUAGUGUCUAUAAUACUGUAAGGGGUUCUUCUACAUAGACCAUAGUAAAUCCCAGGACAUAGUGUCUAUAAUACUGUAAGGGGUUCUUCUACAUAGACCAUAGUUAAUCCCAGGUCAUAGUGUCUAUAAUACUGUAAGGGGUUCUUCUACAUAGACCAUAGUAAAUCCCAG